GGGACGCAGAACGAACUAGAUCUUAUCUGUCGAAUUUAGAACUAGUUCGAAACUAUAGAAAAAGUGAUGCAGCGGGAGCUUGUUUAAUUUACAUAGAUAUGUAUUCGGCGGCUUUUUCGUUCAAAUGCACUUUCAUUCUGCACUUCGAAGAUGCUAUUUCAUAGUUUGGUAAUACAAAACAAAACUUUGUGUUCACAUAUUAACAUCUUGGAGCCGUCUAGAAUCUAGCCAAUAAGAGCGAGCACCUCUGCAAAGUCAGCUACAGCCAAAGAAAAAACGUUUCUUUGAAAAUAAUACAAAAUCGCACACGGAAGAACAGAAAAGAUUGAAAACUCGAACUCGAAAAAGGGAUGCAGCGGAUGCAAUUGACACUUCCUAGGACAUCGCCAUGUUAAAUUCGCCAGUUGUUUGUAUGCAAAAGAGAUUUAUCGCGUACCAGUGCAGGGUCUAAACGUACUACAGGCGCACCAGUUCAGAACUAGAGAUUUUCCCCACAGGCUGUGCGACUGAUUUUAAAUACAUACAUACAAAAAUAAAAUCAAAAGGAAUUACGAGCGGUGCGCUCUGUGUGGCAAGAGCCAGGACAACAAACUUGUGCGUUAUUUUAAACCUCCUAAUUGUCAAGUGAAGCGACAACGGUGGGAAAAUAGCUGCGGUGUUCCAUUAGGAGGCUCUUCGCGUGUGUGCGAACACCAUUUUAGUGCCAGUGACUUUAUUUGUUGCCCAUGAUAGUGGAGUAUCUCCAAGCGGACGCGUUUGUUCCCAGGUGCAGUACCUCUACCAUACAAUUCCUCACUGUUUGAGUUAUCUGAAGUGUCGGCCGUUCCUGAGGUGUCUGUGGGGAC